CCCCCGUGUAACUUGCUCGGUGCCAGCAUUGAGGGGUAGGGGCGCCGUGAAAAAACGUGGAUACCGCAAACCAUGACAGCCCUAAAAGUAGAAAUGGAUCAAUAUCCUACUUAGAACCCCGAUUCUGUACAUACAGUAGUGAGAGGAAGGGGGCGCCGAGGGAUCCAGGGAAAGGGAAGCAAACUCUUCUGUUCACAGAGCCGGUCACUCGCACGUCCCAGAUCAAACUCCAUGCUGACGCUCCUCACAAACACCCAACAAGGGUCCAAGGUGAACAGCAGGAAUCCGACUCAGCCGCCACCUUAAGUGGUGACCGAUCAGAUGAAGAUGAUGCGCAGCAGACGUGUGUGUGACCCUGGCAGGUGAUUGGACACACCUGAAGACCUUGACACACCUGCAGCUGAUCAGGCCUGUCGGAGGAGCUAUUUGAGAGUGUGGUGGAGCUCUCUCCGACGCUGGAUCAUUGCGUGGCUUCACGAGUUACGGGGAGACGAGAGAACAGCGAGCACGGGGUGCUCAUCACGGAGAAGCGGAGACAGGAGCACUAGCACUGAGAAGAGGACACGUCACGGGAGUCGGGAGAGCACGGGAUUUAUUGUCCUGUCUGUCCAUCGCUGUAAAUAAACGCACUGCUUGUACAUAGAGCACCGCGCCUGUGUUCUCCUUCCCUACAGCCCCACGGUCUGCCAGCCAGACCGUGACAUUAUGAGUGAACUUGGCUUUAAGUGACUUACAGGUUUCUC